rnacentral:rRNA from 1 species
AGACCUUUAGUUUGAACCCCGAAACCAGGUGAGCUACCCCGAGACAGCCUAUAUUGAUUUAGGGCUAACCCGUCUCUGUGGCAAAAGAGUGGGAAGAGCUCCGGGUAGAAGUGACAGACCUACCGAACCUGGUGAUAGCUGGUUGCCUGAGAAGUGGAUAGAAGUUCAGCCUCGCACACCCCAAGCCAGAGAAUACACCGCUAAGGCACUCAGGGAAAUGUGGGAGAGUUAGUUAAAGGGGGUACAGCCCCUUUAACAAAGGAUACAACCUUUGCAGGAGGAUAAAGAUCAUAAUAUAUAAAACAUGCUGCUCUAGUGGGCCUAAAGGCAGCCACCUAAACAGAAAGCGUUAAAGCUCAGGCAGAAAGAAGUUUAUUAUACCGAUAAAAAAUCUUACUCCCCUAAUUAUAUCAGGCCAACCCAUGCCAACAUGGAAGAGAUUAUGCUAAAAUGAGUAACAAGAAGACCUGCUCUUCUCCCAGCACAAGUGUAAGCCAGAUCGGACUAGCCGCUGGAACUUAACGAACCCAACCCAAGAGGGUAGUGUGAAUAGUACAGACCCCAAGAAGAACUCACAACUAAACAAUCGUUAACCCCACACUGGAGUGCUAUUAUAAAGGAAAGACUAAAAGAGGGGGAAGGAACUCGGCAAACACAAGCCUCGCCUGUUUACCAAAAACAUCGCCUCCUGCAACUAUAUUGAGUAUAGGAGGUCCAGCCUGCCCAGUGACUACGGGUUCAACGGCCGCGGUAUUUUGACCGUGCAAAGGUAGCGCAAUCACUUGUCUCUUAAAUAGAGACCUGUAUGAAUGGCUAGACGAGGGCUUAACUGUCUCCCCCCUCCAGUCAGUGAAAUUGAUCUAUCCGUGCAGAAGCGGGUAUAAUUAUACAAGACGAGAAGACCCUUUGGAGCUUAAGGUACAAAAUCCAACCACGUUAAACGACCCCCUAAAGGGCAAGAACUUAGUGGCCAAUGAAGUUUUACCUUCGGUUGGGGCGACCACGGAGGAGAAAAAAGCCUCGGAGUGGACUGGGUUAAAACCCAAAGCUAAGAGAUACAUCUCUAAGCCGCAGAACAUCUGACCAAAAGUGAUCCGGCUAAAAAGCCGAUCAACGAACCAAGUUACCCUAGGGAUAACAGCGCAAUCCUCUCCCAUAGUCCAUAUCGACGAGGGGGUUUACGACCUCGAUGUUGGAUCAGGACAUCCUAAUGGUGCAGCCGCUAUUAAGGGU